rnacentral:rRNA from 1 species
CCUACGGGAGGCUGCAGUAGGGAAUCUUCCACAAUGGGCGAAAGCCUGAUGGAGCAACGCCGCGUGGGUGAAGAAGGUCUUCGGAUCGUAAAACUCUGUUGGUGGAGAAGAAAGCGCGUGAGAGUAACUGUUCACGUUUCGACGGUAUCUAACCAGAAAGCCACGGCUAACUCCGUGCCAGCAGCCGCGGUAAUACGUAGGUGGCAAGCGUUAUUCGGAUUUAUUGGGCGUAAAGGGAACGCAGGCGGUCUUUUAAGUCUGAUGUGAAAGCCCUCGGCUUAACCGGAGUAGUGCAUUGGAAACUGGGAGGCUUGAGUGCAGAAGAGGGGAGUGGAACUCCAGGUGUAGCGGUGAAAUGCGUAGAGAUAUGGAAGAACACCGGUGGCGAAGGCAGCUCUCUGGUCUGUAACUGACGCUGAGGUUCGAAAGCGUGGGUAGCAAACAGGAUUAGAUACCCUAGUAGUC